GCCGAAUCCUUUGCCCCUGGGCAAAAUCAGCUGCAGUUGUAUCAUUUUUUGACAGAAGUUCUGACAAAAUGUCAGCUUCUGCUUAAACACCUGCAGUGCCUGUGCAAUAUUCAUCAGUCUACCUGAAGUGCUAGAGAAAGCUGAUGUGCUGGCGGAACCACCUCCAGUGUUUUAAAGGAAAUGCCAUGUGGGAGGAGAGAAAUAGUGCUGAGCAAGAGCAGGAACAGCAUGGGACGGCCGUCUGCCAGGUUCUGCCUCGUCAUCCUGAAAUCCAGUUCUGCGGGAGCUCCUUGCUAGUUUUGUCACUUGGGUGCUGCAAGCAAAACAAGCACGCUGACCUUAGGAGGAGAAAAAGGAGGGCAGGUAGAUCAUAUCGUAUCUGCCAAGUUCAUACCUGCACAGUGACUGACCUGCCAGAUAGAGCUGGGGUGUCUGGGGCUGACUAUCCCAGACAGUCUCUGCUGCCCCCGAGAAGAAACUGUUAUCUUUCUGACAGGGUUUGAGAGAGAGUUGAG